GUUUUUUCUAUCAAUUCAUCCAAAUGGCGCAAAUUAGCAGCAUUAUUAAGGCCUUCGUCCUCGCAGUAGUUGUUGCCGCAGUCGCCACGUCAGCACAGGAGGUCGGUUUAGCUCCAGCUCCGUCACCGGACGCCGGAGCAGGAUUCUCCGUGCCGGUUUCCGGUGCUUUGAUCGGAACAUCUCUGAUCGUCUCUCUGUUCGCUUCAUUGAGGAAUUAAAAGCAAUUUCAUUGCUUCGAUUUGAUUGGGAAUUUGGAGGAUUUAUUGUAAUCGAAAUGCUAUUAUUCGAUUGAUUCUUUUGUGUUUGUAUAUGGAGUGAGGAGUGUUAUUGAUAAGUUUCUGAACUUUCUUUGUAAUUUUCGUCAACAUUUUCCUAUUGUAAAUGUGAUUUUGUUACUGCGUAUUUUAAUUUUUUAUUCAAUUGGACUUGGAUGAACAAAUAGAAAAUUGUUUCUGGUAUUAUUGAUGAUGAGAAAAAGUUUUUACUGAUUG